rnacentral:misc_RNA from 1 species
GACAAGUCCACGAAUAUAUACCGUCAGUAAAAGCUGUAUUUGAGCGUGCACGUACACGUUGAGUCUACUAAAGCCUAAUGAGCUCAGCUCAGAAAAAAGUGAAACUAAUAUCUACAAGAUGUUAAUUCAUUUAUCCUUCCAGUGAGUGUCAACCAACGUCUCUGAAUGUACCACAAAACAAGCAUACCCACACAGCUUAGA